UCACUGCCUGUGUCAGAAGGCAAAUGGGACCAAUCAACUUGUGAGCUGCUGAGUGACACCCUGAGUCCUGCCUCUGAAACUUUUGUUAUUUUUUCCCCUCCGCCUACUUCAAUUGUUUCCACAACUUGGUCACAGACUCAGAAAAGUUGCCAGAGAUCUACAGGCACGUCCCACAGCCCGGAGCAAGCUCCUCUGUGCUUCACUAAGUCACACCAGGGGUGGGUGACAGUGCCAUGGAGGAUUAACAAGCAAGCAAAAGGUACUGGUAAAUCAGAUUAUCUGCCCUGUCAGUACCAGCCAGCAGGACUAUCCAGAUCUCCUGGCUGAAAGGUAUUUGAGAAAAAAAGCUUGUAGAAGCAUCCAGAAUACUUUUCCAGAAAAAAACCCCAAACAACUAGCUAUUGUAAGCAUAUAUUUUUUUCUUAAGUGGAAGAAACUAAAAACCAGGGAAAGAGCUGUGGACACAAUGCAAUUUAUGUGAACCUACAUGGCUUAGUACUGAAGGAGCAACCCUAAGCCACAAUUAAGAGUCUGCUGCAGGCACAAGAGGGCAGAUUGAUACAUAUUAUGGAUCUGGCCAACAACAGAGGUCUCAACCUGCUACUUAACUUUCUGCUCAUUGUCUUGGUCCUAGUGCUUGCAUUUAUCCUUGUGAAGCUGAUAUGAACCUCUGCAAGGCGCUGCUUCCUUCUCAGAUUUUGUCCCGUGGAUUUUGCAACGAUAAUGUAGACACUUUCGACUACCUGAAUCUAAGUACAUGAAGACUGCAGAGGCUGAAAUAUCCAACAGUUACAGAGAAUGUGCUCAUACCCCAAAUUUAUCAGAAAACAAUCCUAAGAGCUGUGUACAAGCUAUGCACCUGCAACAGAGUGAAGAAAGCACCUACAGCCUCGUUGAGUAUCUGAAGAAACCCAAGAAUGCAUCAGCAGCUACUGUAGUUUCUCAUUGAUACAGCUGAUUGUUAUUUAAAGACCUACAAAUUAUUUGCAGCAUUCAAAGAACAUAAUGUCUGCAGAAAGGGGACAGCAGAAAUCAAAUUUUUAAAAUGGGAUUUCUCUGGUAUUUCCAUUUACUUUAUGGGAAAUGACAGCAGGAGGGCAAACCAAAAUGCCAGCUUUGAGUUGACAGCACACAUCAAAUUACCUGUGGAGAGAAAAGCACAGCUGCUGUAAAUAGAAACAAAAAUAUCCCUGAAGAGCAGCUUGCAGUAGCAGAGAUGGAGAUAAGUGAAGGUCAAAUAUGAAAAUGUUAUUAUUAUUUAGACCUUUUUUUGACCACCUGUGGUUCACUGUAACAUCAUAAAAGCAAGAAGCCUUCUGUUAUCCAUCAUAUCAAAAGAAGCAGCUGUCAAAACGACUGAAAAACAAAGGACCAUUACCCAGGGUUAUAACUCUGGCCAGGAAACCCUUAGCACCAGCACAUACACCAACAGCAGGCACACUGCACAAACCCAAGAUGCAUUACAACCUCAGUAAGAGGAUUUACCACUUAUGCACAGGUCAAGUGAGCAGUGUGGGAGCCCUCCAGCCGUAUUUGACAGACCACUCACUACUUGCCAGUGCAAUCAUCAGUCCAUAGCCUGUCCUCACCUCUUGGCAUGCAUCAAAAACUUCUUACAGGACCUUUUUUUGUGGCUCUUUACAGGGUGAUGUACUUUACCCACAGGGUCCUGGGAAGGACACUGACCAACAAGAGCACGCUUCUGUUCGAAUGAUUUUCCAGAAGGUAGAGCUAAAAACAUGAGAAGUGCUGGGAAAGGAGUGGACCAGAAGCAGCUUUCAUACAUUGCACUGGAGCCAAACAACUUUCUCUUAGCAUCUCACUUUCCCAAGUGAAACACAGGAACCAACCACAGGAAUCACCAAGUGUGCACCAAAAAUAUACAGCAAAUUUAUUGCCAUAGAUAUUCAUACUAACACAUGUGCAAAAGAGGCAGAUGUUGUUUCAUGGAUGGGGGAAGCCCCAGCUCCAGCUUCCUACUGCAAACAGCACAUCCCUGAUUCAGCACAUACAUUGCUGAGUGCUAAGUGUAUUAUAGAGCUGAUCUAUUUAUGUUCAUAGAACUUCCAUAUGAUCACUACUGUUAUUCAGUUAUCUGCAGGAGACUCAUCUAAACUGGCUCUAUGAAUAGACUUUUCACAGGAAAAGGCAGUAUGCCCAGCAAACCCGAAAGCUUAAGGAAAUCCUGCCAUUAAUAAGCAUCCACAUUCCACUCUACACUACCUGCUCCAUAGCUUACAGAGCAUUAGUGUGCUGGUUUAUCUGGAAUAAAGUUAAUUUUCUUCAUGGCAUAGUAGCAAGGAUGGGUCUACGGACCCAUAAGUUUGGUAUAAGUACAAAGUGUAGCUACUACGAAGGAAAUUGUCUCUGCUCCAGCCAAACCAGCACAGUUGCCUAGAGCAGCACAGAUAGUUAAAAGGAAAGUUUUUUUCUCACUUGCUCUGAAAUAUGUGCAAUAACCACUUGAAAUGGCUUCUGCAAACUCCAUACCCACAGUUUUUUGAAGUUUAUAGUUAUAGCAGUAUGAAUUCCAAUCUGUUUGCAUUUAAAGCAGAAAAAUUUGCACACCUACAUCACAACAAGCAGUUCUUUUAUAAUCUUGAAAGACUGCUUAAAAAAAAUCUGUAUAUUUAUAUACCAGAUAUAUGUGGUAAUGGUUAUAUAGUUUUGUAUUACUUAGGAGAUGUAAUACAAAGAUGGUUCAAAGCACACCAAAAACACUGAAACAAAAAGCAAACCCACUCUAGCCCAAAGCAAAAUAAGAACAGUUUUCCCAACAAAAUGGUUAUUCACUGACAUACUGUUUGGGACUACCCAAAGCUUAUUGUCUAUAUGACCUUUUCUAUAUUCAGAAGUUUCCAGAUCUUAGGGAAACCACUGUGACACCAGUUGGCCCUGACAAAACAGUAAGAUCAACUAUUCCUUUUUAAUAAAUUGAGGAAGAUGAGCCUGCUGCCAACAACGAGCAUGUAUUUCCAGAUCAAAAAUUACAUACCAAGGAAGUCUGUGAGAAACUUUGCCAUCAGAGCGUGGAGAAACAAUCCCCAGAUACAAUCUCGGUAGUCUCCUCUCAGCCAGCAACGAACUGACAGAAUCCUCAACAAAUGCUGAAAUACGCUGCUGAAACUGAAACAUGCAUUUUCCAGAGAUGACAUAUAAAGCUGGCAAAGUUAGCAGCUAACCAAUGCCAAGGCUUUUUUUGCAAUCAACCAAGUUUAGUUUCCCGAUCAUUUGCUAGCACUCCAGACUGAACCUACAAGCACCUUAUAAUGAAUGGAAUCCCAUUUGCUGGGCUACCAACUCCACAGCAAAAUGAACAGACCAUAAAAGCUUAGUUAUGGCUCACAGUAAAGGAGUUCACUCUGCUUGCUAAAAGUGAUAAUCUCUCACACUGAGUUUUCUAUCCCUGAAAAGUUUCAUCAAAACGUGAUCUAGGAAAAUUGCUGAUAUUAAUAAUUUUAAUUUUCUGAUCUGACAGGAUUGCAAAAAAACCCUAGCUUUGAGUUGACAUUUAGGAAUAAAAUCUUCUGUGGUAACGAUGUCAUCUCAGAAAUCUUAUGGCUUUUCUUUCAAUUAAGGUUUUACAGCUUGGUUUACCGAUGUUUAGAUAUGCACACAGUUUACUUACUUCCUUUCUGCUUUGCAACAAAAAUUGUUCUAAUAAUUCGAAACUUCUCAUUACAUUAAAACUUAAUUUCCAGCAA